rnacentral:rRNA from 1 species
CCUACGGGCGGCAGCAGUAGGGAAUCUUCCACAAUGGGCGAAAGCCUGAUGGAGCAACGCCGCGUGGGUGAAGAAGGUCUUCGGAUCGUAAAACCCUGUUGUUAGAGAAGAAAGUGCGUGAGAGUAACUGUUCACGUUUCGACGGUAUCUAACCAGAAAGCCACGCCUAACUACGUGCCAGCAGCCGCGGUAAUCCGUAGGUGGCAAUCGUUAUCCGGAUUUUUUGGGCGUAAAGGGAACGCAGGCAGUCGUUUAAGUUUGGUGUAAAAGCCUUCGGUUUAAGGGGAGAAGUGCAGUGGAAACUGGGUGACUGGAGUGCAGAAGAGGAGAGUGGAACUCCAUGUGUAGCGGUGAAAUGCGUAGAUAUAUGGAAGAACACCAGUGGCGAAAGCGGCUCUCUGGUCUGUAACUGACGCUGAGGUUCGAAAGCGUGGGUAGCAAACAGGAUUAGAUACCCCGGUAGUC